GCAAGUUGGAAAGCCAGAACAGUGGCAUGCCUAUUUUAAUGAUGUGUGUGUAUAAGUUUCUUCAUAGAUAGACCAGGAAUAUAAGACCCUCUGAAUGGCUGUAAAGGAAAAAUGUUACAGAUGCAUGACUUGGACAAAGUCUGGUGGACAACUGCCUACUCACAACUAGCCAUGAAGAAAAGCACUGAACUCCACUUAGGAAAGUGCUAAUGGCUUUCAGCCACCAUCUAGCCUGAAAACACUUCCUGCAGCAAGAUGGUCCAGUUUAAAGGAUACAGCUUGGGGGAUGCAGCAUCUUUACCUCAUUGAGAGGACCAACAGCUGCCCAGGCAUGGCUCACAUAAAGGAGGGGUUGUCCUUGGGUGGCAGGUUCACAGCACAUGAAGUACACACAAAGGGCACUGCAAUCCCGCAACUCCAGGUCCCAGAACAGAGCAGGAUGCCGAGCGGACUCUGAUCAGCUAUGAUGUAAACCCAGUACCUCCACUGUUCCCCCUCCAAGGACUUUCAAUCUUUCUGAGAGCCAAUUAUAAAUAAUUUCAUGUAAUACUACACAAGUAUGUAUUUUAUCUCCAUUCUCAAACUCUGGCAAAAUGUCAGUUUUGUCAGAGAGUUGCCUCUCUUGAUCAUUUUCAAAGAUCAGUUUUAUAGUUUACUGAUCUUGUAUUGUUUCCC
rnacentral:lncRNA from 1 species